GGAAGUGUUGCUGAGUGGUUGAAAGCCUUGGUUUGCUAAAUCAAUCUACAUUUUUAAUGUAGCGUGGGUUCGAAUCCUACCACUUCCA
rnacentral:tRNA from 1 species